GCGCCAUUAGCUCAAUUGGCAGAGCAGCUGACUCUUAAUCAGUUGGUUGAAGGUUCAAGUCCUUCAUGGCGCA
rnacentral:tRNA from 6 species